GUCUGCGCCUUCAUAUUCCUACAGCUUCUCAGAGUCCUGUGGACAGUGCCUGAGGGGACAAACCAUGCAGG
ensembl:snoRNA SNORA73 Small nucleolar RNA SNORA73 family